rnacentral:rRNA from 1 species
AUUGAACGCUGGCGGCAGGCCUAACACAUGCAAGUCGAACGGUAACAGGAAGCAGCUUGCUGCUUCGCUGAUGAGUGGCGGACGGGUGAGUAAUGUCUGGGAAACUGCCUGAUGGAGGGGGAUAACUACUGGAAACGGUAGCUAAUACCGCAUAACGUCGCAAGACCAAAGAGGGGGACCUUCGGGCCUCUUGCCAUCGGAUGUGCCCAGAUGGGAUUAGCUAGUAGGUUGGGUAACGGCUCACCUAGGCGACGAUCCCUAGCUGGUCUGAGAGGAUGACCAGCCACACUGGAACUGAGAACCGGUCCAGACUCCUACGGGAGGCAGCGGUGGGGAAUAUUGCACAAUGGGCGCAAGCCUGAUGCAGCCAUGCCGCGUGUAUGAAGGAGGCCUUCGGGUUGUAAAGUACUUUCAGCGGGGAGGAAGGCGAUAAGGUUAAUAACCUUGUCGAUUGACGUUACCCGCAGAAGAAGCACCGGCUAACUCCGUGCCAGCAGCCGCCGUAA